rnacentral:rRNA from 1 species
GAUGAACGCUGGCGGCGUGCCUAAUACAUGCAAGUCGAGCGAACAGACGAGGAGCUUGCUCCUCUGACGUUAGCGGCGGACGGGUGAGUAACACGUGGAUAACCUACCUAUAAGACUGGGAUAACUUCGGGAAACCGGAGCUAAUACCGGAUAAUAUAUUGAACCGCAUGGUUCAAUAGUGAAAGACGGUUUUGCUGUCACUUAUAGAUGUAUCCGCGCCGCAUUAGCUAGUUGGUACGGUAACGGCUUACCAAGGCAACGAUGCGUAGCCGACCUGAGAGGGUGAUCGGCCACACUGGAACUGAGACACGGUCCAGACUCCUACGGGAGGCAGCAGUAGGGAAUCUUCCGCAAUGGGCGAAAGCCUGACGGAGCAACGCCGCGUGAGUGAUGAAGGUCUUCGGAUCGUAAAACUCUGUUAUUAGGGAAGAACAAAUGUGUAAGUAACUAUGCACGUCUUGACGGUACCUAAUCAGAAAGCCACGGCUAACUACGUG